rnacentral:rRNA from 1 species
GACGAACGCUGGCGGCGUGCCUAAUACAUGCAAGUAGAACGCUGAAGGAGGAGCUUGCUUCUCUGGAUGAGUUGCGAACGGGUGAGUAACGCGUAGGUAACCUGCCUGGUAGCGGGGGAGAACUAUUGGAAACGAUAGCUAAUACCGCAUAACAGUAGAUAUCGCAUGAUAUCUACUUGAAAGGUGCAAUUGCAUAACUACCAGAUGGACCUGCGUUGUAUUAGCUAGUUGGUGGGGUAACGGCUCACCAAGGCGACGAUACAUAGCCGACCUGAGAGGGUGAUCGGCCACACUGGGACUGAGACACGGCCCAGACUCCUACGGGAGGCAGCAGUAGGGAAUCUUCGGCAAUGGACGGAAGUCUGACCGAGCAACGCCGCGUGAGUGAAGAAGGUUUUCGGAUCGUAAAGCUCUGUUGUAAGAGAAGAACGAGUGUGAGAGUGGAAAGUUCACACUGUGACGGUAUCUUACCAGAAAGGGACGGCUAACUACGUG